GCCACGCUCAAGUAGAGUGCAAGGGCACAGGCUGGGUGUCCAUUGUCAGGAUCCUGACUGCAGCACUCCCAGGCUAUCAUCAGGCAUGCUGGCCCCCAGGCUUAGCUACGGCACCAGCGGUAGGAGUGCACUGCUCUGGACUCUGCAGGAGGAGGACAACUAUCACCGCAUUUUUAUGUUCUUCUUCUGAUAUCACUCUGUGCUUCUCAUCUCCUGGUUGUAGGAUUCAAGGCAGACUUUCUGAAGACCUUGUGGGAAACAGCAGAGUCCAGCAGAGAAGAGGAGAAAAGCCCAGCUGCAAAGAUGAAAAAAUGGCAGACAGUUGCACAGAGGAUGGGGCAUCAGAAACAAAACCGGAUGUCUCUCCAAAAUGAGGUCAGAAAUCUGACAUCUUAGACUUAAAAUAAAAGCCCACCUCAGAGCAGGAGCAGCAAGGACAGCAGCUGUCCCUGCAUUGGUGCUGGGUGGAGGGAAAACCACUGACCCUGAGAACUGAUGAGAAGCAGUCCUCCAGGAGUUCAUGCUGGAAGACCUCGAGAGCAUGGGUCAAAUCGACGUGGCACCAGGCGGCUGCUCACUUCACCUCUACCCCAUGUGAGUGAACAUCUUUGCUGAAACAAUGCAACCCUGUCCUCAAAAUAUCUCCCCACAUAAAAUUCCAAGGAAGAUAAGUCCACGUGCAAAAAGUUACAAAACAUAAGUAAACAAAGUACUGUGGAUACAUCUAAUAAUUCAAGAAACAAAUUCAGCAGAGCCACAAAAAUCCACAAAGUGGAAAAGAUCAACUGCUGGCAAAGUAUCCAUGCUGUUUCUCCUGUUAAGAGACUGUAUUUCAUAAAAAGCUAGACACGCCCCUCUGUGGCCUCACACUUGCCUUCUCCGGCAUGUCUGCCCCAGAAAUGCCCUUGCACGGUCUUCUCCAAGAGACAUAUACGGGGCAAGAAUAUUUAGGCAGUGAUUGUAGAAAUAGAAAACACCUGAAAGCCAUCCAAACACACCUCUAUCAAGGAAAAAAGCUGCCCUAGUCACAUUGUGGAAUAUGAUACAGCAGUGAAAAUGAACGGCACUUAGAAGCAUCAACAAUGAAAAAUUACAGUGAACAAAGGAAAUUACUGAAAAAUACACUGCUAUUCCAUAUACAGUUCACAAACCAUAACAUAUGACAUUGCUUAAUAAUAUACACAGAAAUGAUAAACCUUAUGAAAAGCAAGACAAACAUUAACACAUUAGUCCUAUGUCUGGGUGAAGAAGGGAGACCCAGGUUAUCAAAGAAGGGCGUAUUGUAGCCUUUCAAGACACUCGAUGCUAAUGGAUGAUGACAUCAGUGCAAUUAUUAAUCUAUCCGAUUAUGCAUUCAGUUUUUGUUUGUUUGCUUGUUUUUGUGGUAGAGUUUUGCUCAUGUAGCCCAGGUUAGAGUGUAAUGGCACGAUCUCGGCUCACUGCAACUUCUGUUUCCUGGGUUCAAACAACUCUCCCACCUCAGCCUCCCGAGUAGCUGCGAUCACAGGUGCCUGCCAUGAUGCUCAGCUAACUUUUUGUAUUUUUUUAGUAGAGACGGGUUUCACCAGAUUGGCCAGGCUGGUCUUGAACACCUGACCUCAAAUGAUCCGCCCGCUUCAGCCUCCGAAAGUGCUGGGAUUACAGGCAUGAGCCACCGUCCCCACCCAAAUUUUAUAGACUCUUUUGUGUCAUAUAUUUCAUAAUUAAACAUAAAAAAUAAAAUAUUUACUGUAGUGUGCAAAUGAAAGAGCAAUAAAAAAUGUUGCAAACUUUUAAACAUCAAACCUGUUUUAUAGCUCAUAGUGACCUUCGUAUUAAGCUGUGGUAAGUUCCAAGUUGUAUUUCACUGUAAUUUUCUAAAAACUAGGUGAACAGAUGAAAAACAGAAUUCAGUUUUAAAACAAGGUAUUAAGAUAAUGUUACUGGUCGAAGGUGUCCAGGUUCUUGGUGUCUUGAACCAAGACUUGGACACAAUGCAAAAAUGGAGCAAGGAAAGAAUGAAGCAGCAAAUUAGAGAUUUACAGAAAAUGAAAGCACACUCCACAGGGGUGGGAACACCUGAGCACAGGGAGCCCGUUACUGAAGUUUCUGGGGUUUAGAUCCCCUCUAGAGGUUUCCAUUGGUUACUUGAUAUGCACCCUACGUAAAUGAAGAGGAUGAAGUAAAAUUACAAAGUCAUGUACUCGGUGUACGCCCUGUGUAAAUGGAGAGGAUAUUUCCUGUCAUAGCCCAAGAGUUUCCAUUUGAUUAGUUCUCCGA
ensembl:lncRNA